ensembl:misc_RNA Metazoa_SRP Metazoan signal recognition particle RNA
GCCAGGUGUGGUGGUGCACACCUGUAAUCCAAGCUACAUGGGAGGCUGAGGCAGGAGAAUCACUUGAACCUGGGAGCUGGAGCUCACAGUGAGCCAAGAUCUUGCCACUGCACUCCAGCCUGGUGACAGAGUGAGACUCUAUCUCAA